GAUGAACGCUGGCGGCGUGCCUAAUACAUGCAAGUCGAACGGUGUAUAUGAGCAAUCGUAUACAUAGUGGCGAACGGGUGAGUAACGCGUUGGUGACCUGCCCCGAAGCGGGGGACAACAGCUCGAAAGGGCUGCUAAUACCCCAUACAGUUGCGAGAGAUUAGAAACUUGCAACGAAAGGAGUAAUCCACUUUGGGAGGGGCCUGCGUCCCAUCAGCUAGUUGGUAGGGUAACGGCCUACCAAGGCGUAGACGGGUAGGGGACCUGAGAGGGUGGCCCCCCACAAUGGAACUGAAACACGGUCCAUACACCUACGGGUGGCUG
rnacentral:rRNA from 1 species